UCACAACUAACUGAGAGAGUCACCUUACCAAUCCACCGAUCCGGCAGCAGUUAGGGGCCAACCUUGGCUGACGGGCGACCAAAGUGCAUCAGCAGCAACAGCAGCCGCAACGGCGGCGGCUCGACCAGCUACGACCACGAACUCAGAUAUCACUAUUGAAAUGUGUAUUAUAAAAAAAAUGAUAUAUUUGAUGCUGUCAGAACAUGGCGCCUCCUUAGCAAAACAGACACAAACACAAAUCAGACGAUCGGAAUAAACUUGGACAAGAAAAAUUUCUCGUAAACUAAAUAACCUUAUGAAGGCGACACAAAGCGUUCCCACGUUCAGGAUGUAUAUACGGCCAAGGAAUGUCACUUCACCGGCAUUCCCCCGUAUAUACUUGGGGAAUGUUUAUGCUGCUGCUUAUGGCGCCGCAAAACAAAUACGUAUUUUUUUAAUAUUGUAGCAGGAAAAUAUCUGCCGUUUAGAGUCAGCUUAAAACUGUAGGUCCUUCCAUUUAUGGAACGAAAUCAAGACGGACGCCACAAAUAGGAGGAGGAGCUCGGCAAAGAGGGAUCCUCUUCACUUUGAACAUGAGGUGUAUUUUUCUACUUUCUAUCUUCCUUGCCAAACCUUCCUUUCAAUUUUCAUUUUAAUUCA